GACGAACGCUGGCGGCGUGCCUAAUACAUGCAAGUAGAACGCACAGUUUAUACCGUAGCUUGCUACACCAUAAACUGUGAGUUGCGAACGGGUGAGUAACGCGUAGGUAACCUGCCUGGUAGCGGGGGAUAACUAUUGGAAACGAUAGCUAAUACCGCAUAAUAUUAAUUAUUGCAUGAUAAUUGAUUGAAAGAUGCAAUUGCAUCACUACCAGAUGGACCUGCGUUGUAUUAGCUAGUAGGUGAGGUAACGGCUCACCUAGGCGACGAUACAUAGCCGACCUGAGAGGGUGAUCGGCCACACUGGGAAUGAGACACGGCCCAGACUCCUACGGGAGGCAGCCGUAGGGAAUCUUCGGCAAAGGACGAAAGUCUGACCGAGCAACGCCGCGUGGGUGAAGAAGGUUUUCGGAUCGUAAAGCUCUGUUGUAAGAGAAGAACGGGUGUGAGAGUGGAAAGUUCACACUGUGACGGUAUCUUACCAGAAAGGGACGGCUAACUACGUG
rnacentral:rRNA from 1 species